rnacentral:rRNA from 1 species
AUUGAACGCUAGCGGGAUGCCUUACACAUGCAAGUCGAACGAGUGGCGGACGGGUGAGUAAUAUAUAGGAAAGUGCCCAGUAGCGGGGGAUAACUACUCGAAAGAGUAGCUAAUACCGCAUACUAUAGGAGCGGCCGAGAUCGGAUUAGCUAGUUGGUGGGGUAAAGGCUCACCAAGGCGACGAGCCCUAGCUGGUUUGAGAGGACGACCAGCCACACUGGGACUGAACCACGGCCCCAACUCCUUCGGUGGGCAGCAGUGGGGAAUUUUGGAAAAUGGGGGAAACCCUGAGCCAGCCCUCCCGCGUGGUUGAGAAGGCCUUCGGGUUUUAAAGUACUUUUGGCAGGGAAGCGGUUUCUGCCGAAUAAGCACCGGCUAACUACGUUCCAGGAGCCGCGGUAAUUC